rnacentral:rRNA from 1 species
GACGUAGGUGGCGAACGUUAUCCGGAAUUAUUGGGCGUGAAGGGUGCGUAGGUGGCCUGACAAGUUAUCAGUGGUAAAUCGAGGCUCAACCUCGUGGAAACUGGUAAUACUGUCUGGCUUGAGUACAGGAGAGGUUAACGGAACUCUAUGUGGAGCGGUAAAAUGCACAGAUAUAUAGAAGAACAUCAAUAAAGGCGAAGGCAGUUAACUAUUCUGUUACUGACGCUGAGGCACGAAAGCGUGGGGAGCAAAACGG